rnacentral:rRNA from 1 species
UACGUAGGUGGCAAGCGUUGUCCGGAUUUAUUGGGUUUAAAGGGUGCGUAGGCGGUUCUAUAAGUCAGUGGUGAAAUACGGCAGCUCCACUGUCGAGGUGCCAUUGAUACUGAAGAACUUGAGUACAGACGAGGUAGGCGGAAUUGACGGUGUAGAGGUGAAAUGCUUAGAUAUCGUGAAGAACACCGAUAGCGAAGGCAGCUUACUAGACUGUAACUGACGCUGAGGCACGAAAGUGUGGGGAGCAAACAGG